GCACCCUUAGCUCAGUUGGUAGAGCAUCUCAUUUACACUGAGAGGGUCGCAGGUUCGAGCCCUGCAGGGUGCA
rnacentral:tRNA from 1 species